GGCUGUGUUAGGAAUCAUAAGAAUCCAUGAAGGUCUUGUCAUUUUCAUUCACUGGUGUAUCAGAAGCAAUUUUGUUAUUGCUCCAGCCUCUAGAUUAUAUUUCUUUUAUAGGAAAAUACUGACACCAACAUUUGAAAGUGCAACAGAACCUGAUUUAUCUGAUAAAUAAAAAAAAUUAAAAAAGUAUCAUAUCUAGAAGAGGAAUUUAAAAACCUGUAGAUUCUGUUCCCAACAGAAGAUGUGGCUUUUCAAUGAAUAAUGUUGGGAACAGUAAAAAAUAUGUAUGUAUAUAUCUGGAAAAGAAAGUAAAUUUGAAAUAAUACUUUAUAUAAGAUAAAUUGAAACUUUAUCAAAUAUUUAAAUAUAAAAUUAAUCAAAAGCAUUAGAUGAAAAUACUGGAGAAUUGCUCUUUAAGUCUGGGACAAUACUGUUGAAAGCCAACAUGGUGGUUGCAAGUAGGAAUCUGGAGUAAAGUUCACAGUCUGUAGAACAGGACAGUUGAAGGAAUAAUGGUGGAUGGGUAGAAAACCACAGAUGGAGACAUGGUAGUUGUGAGGGAGGUUCAUUCUGACAAGUAGAGCCCUCAGAACUUAGGCCAUUUGCCAACGUGUUCUCCAUUACAGGUAAAUAAUAGCUGUGUUCAACAUGGUCAGAAUGUUCCAAGCAAACAUGGGAAAAGGAACUGCUCAACACUGUACACGUGGACUUCAGGAACUAGAUAAUACUGUUGCUUGACUGUAGGACCAUACCUUAGAUUAGGAUCACAGGUUGGAUUCCUUCAAGCCAUGGGGGGAGAUGAUACUUGUGAAACACACUAUGCAAGUUAUUUCACAGAUGCUGGAACACAAGAGUGGUAACUGCACUCAGAGGAGAACUUCUGAACAAGUAUCAGAGUGCUAUGUUGUCUUGAAUUCCUUUUGCUUAUGUUUGGGUUAGAGAAACCACAAGGAGCUUUGAAUGAAAUGAAGAGCUAGCAUGAAGAUGCUGAUAAUAUGCAAACUGACACUGAGAAAGAUUUGAGUGAGGCCAUAAACCAACAUUGAC
rnacentral:lncRNA from 1 species